AUUACGGGGUGCAGCAGGCGCGAAACCUGGCCAAUGCGCGAAAGCGUGAGCCGGCCAAUCCGAGUGAAGACCCAUCGGUCUUCUUUUAUCAUGUGUACAAAGCUUGGUGAAUAACGAGAGGGCAAGACUGGUGCCAGCCGCCGCGGUAAAACCAGCUCUUGGAGUGGUGAUCAUGAUUAUUUGGCUUAAAGUGAGCGUAGCCGGACAGCGUAAGUCUCCUGUGAAAUGCUAGGUCUUAAGCUUAGCACGUGCACGAGAUACUGCGCGUCUUGGGACCGGGAUAGGUAUACUGUACGCAAUGGGUAGGGGUGAAAUCCGAUAAUCCAUUGCGGACAACCGGUGGCGAAGGCGGUAUACUGGAACGGGUCCGACGGUGAGGCUCGAAAGCUAGGGUCGCGAGCCGGAUUAGAUACCCGGGUAGUCCUAUGCUGUAAACGAUGCUCACUAAGUGUUAGGUAACGCAAGACGUUACCUGGUGCCGAAGCGAAAGCGUUAAGUGAGCCGCCUGGGAAGUACGUUCGCAAGAAUGAAACUUAAAGGAAUUGGCGGGGGAGCACAAU
rnacentral:rRNA from 1 species